rnacentral:misc_RNA from 1 species
GUCAUCUUGGACCAGAUAACUCAACUGCAUGUAAAUUGUGUGUAGAAUCAAAAAACCGAGAAGUAGGAUUAAGGAUUGGUCCCAUCUCCUGGCCAGAAAUUUCCAUCUUUUGCCACUCAGCCCACCUCUCUGCCAAGCCAACACUUUCAACCAUUCUCACCACUUCUGACAUCUUAGGUCGAUCCUCUGGUAAGCCAUGUGUGCAAAGUAGUGCAAUCUGCAUCAGCUGCUCUAUCUCAGCCCCCAAUCAAGCAGCAUAACAUUGUCAUCUUCAUUUGAAAGCCAAGAAAGGUCGAAUGCCUUCUGUCCAGUGAUUAGCUCUAGAAGCAUAAUUCCGUGGGCAUAAACAUCAAUCUUUUCUGAACAUCUUCCAUUAGAGAGAUAUUCUGGAGCUAUAUGCCCAAUUGUGCCAUGUACAGUAGAAAUGAUAUGGGAAUCCUUGUAGUUUAUCAGUUUAGAUACUGCAAAGUCCCCAACAAAAGCCUCAAAAUUGUCAUCCAAGAAAAUGUUUGCAGCUUUCACAUCACAAUGGAUAAUCCUUGGGUUGCAGUGUUCAUGCAAAUAAGAAAGACCUUUUGCUGAUCCCAAUGCAAUUUGCCUCCUGAUUGGCCAGUCAAGUAAAGGCUGUGAUGGACCUUGAUUUCUCAAGUGGGAUGCAACACUCCCAUUAGCCAUGUAGGGAUAAACCAGCAACCGUUCAGUUGGUGUGAUACAUAUCCCAAUUAACUUAAGGAGGUUCUGAUGCUCAGCUAUGGUGAUCAUCUUCAUUACUUUCAGGAACUGACGCUCCCCACCAGGAGUAUUCUCACUUUUCAUUCUUUUUAUAGCCACCAGAGAACCAUCUUCAAGAAUUCCCUUGUAAACUUUGCCAAAUGGUCCGAAUCCAUCUCUACCUAGAAUGUUUUCAUUGCUAAAGCCAUUUGUUGACA